UAUAGUCACACAUGAAUAUCAAAGUAAAUCUUAUCUCAAACUAAGAAAACAUGCAUGCCAAAAAAUUAUUAGUACCAUUGAUUGUUCACACGUCCUUCACUACAUGACCAAAACAACAAGAUACAAAUUAAAUAUAUCAUUUUCUUAAGAAAUUGGUAAGAAGUGAUAGUAAGUUGUAACUGUAAACACAAAACCAGAAUUAUUAAUUGCUAAUAUGAUAUCCACAAAGUGCAAUUAUGAAAUUGUCUCUCUUUUUCAAAAGGUUAUACCACAAAAAAAAAUCAAAUAACAGUGAUAAGUUUUAAUAUGGUAAGUGUUUCUACUUUCCAAAUAAUGUAAUAUAGUUCAUUGAAACUAAAAAAAUGUAAUUGAACUAAGACAACAUCAACCAAAUAGUUUUUUAGAGCAAGAAGCGGCUAACCCACAUUCUUAAACUAUAGUCUUCACUCUCUAUCUUGGGAGUUAUGUCCUGCUUCACCACCUAUUGGUGGCUUCUUUGUUUUUAUGUUACUGUCUUUUCCUUUGUUACUCUGUUUUGUUGAGGUUGUUUAACCUCUGUACUUUCCUUGAGGCUUGCCUCGGCUUGGGUCUUUGGCUCUUGCUUUUGAAUAUGAAAUCCAGCGUUAAAAAAAAAAAAAAACUAAGACAACAUCAACCAAAUAGUUUGAAUUGUGGUAUCAAAACUUGUAGACAGAAAAAACUACGAGAACAAUCUCACAAUCAACCAUUUAUACCCACCAAGAAGCAUUAAACUACAAUAACGUAAAACGGGAGUGAUAUGUUGACAUCGUGGGGUCUCACUCUCUUCUCCCA
rnacentral:lncRNA from 1 species